UACGUAGGGAGCGAGCGUUAUCCGGAUUUAUUGGGUGUAAAGGGUGCGUAGACGGGUCUACAAGUUAGUUGUGAAAUCCCUCGGCUCAACUGAGGAACUGCAGCUAAAACUAUAGAUCUUGAGUGCAGGAGAGGUAAGUGGAAUUCCUAGUGUAGCGGUGAAAUGCGUAGAUAUUAGGAGGAACACCAGUGGCGAAGGCGACUUACUGGACUGUAACUGACGUUGAGGCACGAAAGUGUGGGGAGCAAACAGG
rnacentral:rRNA from 1 species